CACUUUGCGCAGUGGCAAGAUUGUAGCCUAUGAGGUUCAACCGAGGUGCGAUUAUUGCUGUUUGAAAACUUAACUCUUUCUGAGUAAUACACAAAUAUCGGUUUAAGCUUGCCAAAUCGUGAUUUUUUUACUGAAUUAAAAAUG
rnacentral:snRNA from 1 species